AUGCUUCUGACCCAACGUGCUGAGAAGGCCGAAACAACCCUUGAAGAGAUUUCAACAGAGCUGAACGGGUUAAAGGGCCGGGUGUCUCAAAUGGUGGCUGCCAUGUUUGGCCCUCGAAGAAAAAAUUUGAGCCAAGACCCUUUGAUUAAACUGAAGGCACUGUAUACUUUGGUAGAACAACUGUAUAUUGGUGCACAGCGGGCUCUUGCCGCCAUCUCUCCUGUCAAUCAAGGACCCAACCGGCUCAGCGACGUCCUGAAGAAACUGUCAAUCCUGCCUGCCAGGUUUCAAGAAGUGAAACGCUCCUGCGCGCGAGUUGGAGCUUUGACUGCCCUGAGCCGCUCCAAGGCUUGGGUGCCAGACCUAGACCCGGCGGACGUGGCAAGAGGCUAUUCCACCGUGAAAGAAGAUGGUUCUCCUUUUGGGCAGGAUGACUUCAUGGCCUGCGUGCGCGGAGUCCGACCUCAGGAAACUACCCCGGGAGAUGACACCAAUAUUGACAAAUACCAGCUGGGUUUUGAUGCUGAAAAUAAGAAGAUGGCCACUCCCUCGUACAAGGUAACAGAUUUGAUUCCACCGGUAAGAGAAGACACAUUUGCCCCGAAAGUUGACCCGGUCGGCCUGAUCGACGACGAAGCCGAAUUUGUCGCCGUGAAUGGUUUUGAUUGGUCAAAACCCAACUUCCAGCCAAUAGAAGGUGGUGAACCGGCGAGGGAGGAACAAUGA
rnacentral:rRNA from 1 species